rnacentral:rRNA from 1 species
AUUGAACGCUGGCGGCAGGCCUAACACAUGCAAGUCGAACGAGUGGCGGACGGGUGAGUAAUGUCUGGGAAACUGCCUGAUGGAUAGGGAUAACUACUGGACACGGUAGCUAAUACCGCAUACCAUCAGAUGUGCCCAGAUGGGAUUAGCUAGUUGGGGGGGUAACGGCUAACCAAGACGACGAUCCCUAGCUGGUCUGAGAGGAUGACCAGCCACACUGGAACUGAGACACGGUCCAGACUCCUACGGGAGGCAGCAGUGGGGAAUAUUGGACAAUGGGCGCAAGCCUGAUGCAGCCAUGCCGCGUGUAUGAAGAAGGCCUUCGGGUUGUAAAGCACUUUCAGCUGGGAGGCGUUACCCGCAGAAGAAGCACCGGCUAACUCCGUGCCAGCAGCCGCGGUAAUAC